rnacentral:sRNA from 1 species
GUAAUCUCAGCACUUUGGGAGGCUGACACGGGUGGAUCACGAGGUCAGGAGUUCAAGACCAGCCUGGCCAAGAUGGUGAAACCCCGUCUCUACUAAAAACACAAAAAUUAGCCAGGCAUGGUGGUGGGCAUCUGUAAUCCCGGCUACUCGGGAGCCUGAGGCAGAGAAUUGCUUGAACCUGCGAGGCGGAGAUUGCAGUGAGCCGAGAUUGUGCCACUGCGCUCCAGCUUGGGAUACAGAGCCAGACUCCAUCUCAAAAAAAAAAAAAAAGAACACAGAACUGUUUCGUUCUGUAGGAAGAGUAGAUUGUAUUACAUUGAUGAUAAGUAAGUCCCAAGUCACACCCAAAAUGUGAUCAUAAGUGAAGAUAAAUGGAUUACUUGAGUGUUGAGACAAGAGGGACAUGCUCUUCUAUUUUAUGUGUCCAUCUUUACCUUUCUGAAAAAAUAAGAAUGUUGUAAUUAGCAUUCUAUGUUUGAAUCUGAGGCUCACUAUUUAUAAGCUGUGUGAUAAUGGGAGAGUUACCCGACUUCUCUGAGCCUCAGUUUUAUCAUUGGAAAACAGCAUAAAUGUACCAUAUUGUAAAGAUCUUGUUAGGAUUGAUCGUGGUGACUCGGUAGAUAAAGCUCCUAGUGUAAUGCCUGGCCCUCAUCAUCAUGUUCAUCAUUAUUAUCACUGUGUUUCUGAAAUGUCACUGAAACGUGUCUUUUAUAGGUGGAACAUAAAUAAUGAUACCUGGGUCAUAACUGAGCAACUAAAACCUUUAACAGUGAAUUUGGACUUCCGAAGAAACAACAAAACUGUCUUCAAGGCUUCAAGCUUUGCUGGCUAUGUGGGCAUGUUAACAGGAUUCAAACCAGGACUGUUCAGUCUUACACUGAAUGAACGUUUCAGUAUAAAUGGUGGUUAUCUGGGUGUUCUAGAAUGGAUUUUGGGAAAGAAAGAUGCCAUGUGGAUAGGGUUCCUCACUAGAACAGUUCUGGAAAAUAGCACAAGUUAUGAAGAAGCCAAGAAUUUAUUGACCAAGACCAAGAUAUUGGCCCCAGCCUACUUUAUCCUGGGAGGCAACCAGUCGGGGGAAGGUUGUGUGAUUACACGAGACAGAAAGGAAUCAUUGGAUGUAUAUGAACUCGAUGCUAAGCAGGGUAGGUGGUAUGUGGUACAAACAAAUUAUGACCGUUGGAAACAUCCCUUCUUCCUUGAUGAUCGCAGAACGCCUGCCAAGAUGUGUCUGAACCGCACCACCCAAGAGAAUAUCUCAUUUGAAACCAUGUAUGAUGUCCUGUCAACAAAACCUGUCCUCAACAAGCUGACCGUAUUCACAACCUUGAUAGAUGUUACCAAAGGUCAAUUCGAAACUUACCUGCGGGACUGCCCUGACCCUUGUAUAGGGUGGUGAGCACACAUCUGGCCUACAGAAUGCGGCCUCUGAGACAUGAAGACACCAUCUCCAUGUGACCGAACACUGCAGCUGUCUGACCUUCCAAAGACUAAGACUCAGGGCAGGUUCUCUUUGAGUCACAAGCUUGUCUUCCUCCAUCUGUUGACAAUUGACAGACUUUUUUUUUCCCCCCAUCAGUUGAUUUUUCUUAUUUACAGAUACUUCUUUAGGAGAAGUAAAACAAUCAUCUAGAAUUCAUUGAGUUUUGUUUCACUUUGACAUUUGGGGAUCUGGUGGGCAGUCGAACCAUGGUGAGCUCCACCUCCGUGGAAUAAAUGGAGAUUCAGCGUGGGUAUUGAAUCCAGCACAUCUGUGUGAGUAACGGAACAGUAAACACUCCACAUUCUUCAGUUUUUCACUUUUACUUACUAUUUGUAUGUUUUUCUGUAUAACAGCCUUUUCCUUCUGAUUCUAACUACUGUUAAAAUUAAUAUGUCAUUAUCUUUGCUGUUAUUGACGGCAAUAUAAUUUUAUUACAUAUGAUUAGAGGGAUGAGACAGACAUUCACCUGUAUAUUUCUUUUAAUGGGCACAGAAUGGGCCUUUGACUCUAAAUAGCACUUUUUGGGGUUCAAGAAGUAAUCAGUAUGCAAAGCAGUCUUUUAUACAAUAAUUGAAGUGUUCCCUUUUUCAUAAUUACUCUACCUCCCAGUAACCCUAAGGAAGUUGCUAACUUAAAAAACCGCAUCCCAGAUUCUGUGAAUUUAGUACAUAAACAAGUCAAAGACUUGUGGAAAAUAGGAAGUGAACUCAUAUUUUAAAUUCUCAUAAGUAGCAUUCAUGUAAUAAACAGGUUUUUAGUUUGUUCUUCAGAUUGAUAGGUAGUUUUAAAGAAAUUUUAGUAGUUACUAAAAUUAUGUUACUUUAUUUUUCAGAAAUCAAACUACUUAUGAAAAUUACUAAUAGAACUUGUUAACCUUUCUAACCUUCACGAUUAACUGUG